UGCAUUCUGUAACACAAAAGAACAGAUCAAAAAUAACAAACUCCAUCAAUAACAUGAAUGCUAAAAACUCAAAGGAAAAGUUAGUCUAAAAACAUAAAGCAAAACAAAGUUCUUGACGGGAUUGAACUUGAAGUUUCGGUGGUGAGGCUUGGUUUCAUGGGAAAUUGGAAGCAUUGAAACAAGUUUUGAACGACAUCAAGUACAUAAACGCAAGACAAAUAAAAGUUCUCCUUAGGCGAUUUCAAGAAGUUCUUCACAGUUUUCGUGAAAAAGUGCAACGUGAUCUUCAUGGAUUCAAUUCUAUAGUAAGUUCUAAAGAAGAUUGAAGACUUGACGAAGACGUUUGGAUUAGCGAUCUCCAGACUAUUUUAGGUCUUGUUAAGUUCGAGGAUGCUACUUUUUAUUAUUCUAGAUUAGUACAUUAGAUAUGGCUAGUGGCUUCUGUCCCUAUUGUGUCAUUUCAAACAUUUGUUCAACAAUUUGUAAUAAGGCCUAUUGGCAAAUUAUUAUUAUUAUU